GAUGAGAAUGAGAAUGAGAAUGAAGACAAGCAGUGGCAGCCCCCGACGGCCACGGAGGGAAGGCUGGUGGUUUUCCUUAGAAUGAGGCCACUCGUGCAAACACAAAGACCUGCUGGUCUCACUCGGGGGCAAUCCUCAGAUUUCAGUCCUUCAUGAAUUACGUGUUUUUUUGUUUGUUUGCUAUCCAGACGUCAGCUGCACUAUUUCUUAGUUUUUCCUCUAACCAGACCUAUCAGAACUAUAAACAUAUUUUAAAAGGAAAUUUCAUUUCAUUACCAUAAAUGGGAAAACAGUGCCACUUCCCAUAAACUGGAAGUGACUAUAAAAUUCAUACAAUCUUAUUAAAUUCUGUCUGUAUUGUUACCUGCAAAGGCUCCUUAUUACAAGGGAAGAUGAGAGAGUAUUGGAAAAGAUUUCUUUACAGGCUGGGAAGAUGGUUCAGUUGGUAAAGUACUUGCUUUGCAAGCACAAGAACCCGAGUUCUAUCCCCGCCUCCACCACAAAAAAAGCUUGGCACGGUGGGGCAGCACGCUUGCGACUCCAACAACAAGGCGAGGCCAGGAUCCCUGGGGCUGGCUGACUAGUUAGCCUAACCUAGUCAGCCAGCUCCAGGCCAAGUGAGAGGCCCUGCCUCCAAAUUUAAAAACAAAAAUACAAAAGCAGAAAAACAGACGGUGACUGAGGAAUGACGUCAGCACCCGCCCCCCAACCAUGUACACACAAACGAGAAAGGUUUAUUCUCUCAAGUAGAAAUACCCAGGAAUUUAGCACGGUCUGAUUCUCCCACCCCAAGACUGGGGCCCCACGGAGGCCAACCAAGCGCUCUCCACUCAGCUGUAUUCCUAAUACUGUCGAAUUUUAGAGUCUCCAAUUUUGUUUCCUGUAUACCUCCUGACAACCUUGGAAGGUGACUGCAGUCUGCCUUAGGCCAAGGAGUCAAGCUUUCGAAAGGAAUUAUUUGUCCAUUUCCAGAAGGCUGGAGACAGCUAUGGGGGGACUGGGGGAGGGAGGGAGGGAGGAAAUGGACCAUGGGCUCUGAAGUAGGGAGGGGGUCCCCACUGUUCCUGAGGCAGGCUCCCACAAAUCCAGAGCGAAGCUAGAGCGCAGAAGCCUGGAAACAUACCAGCUUUCUGGAAUCCUAGCUUUCAGUCAGCUCCCAAUGCAAACUUAGCUUUGGAUAAUCCAAUGGUGCCUCAGAGGCACAGCCCAGUCUCUGCCAUCCACACUGACCUUCCCACUGUCCUUCAGUUACGAAGCAGCUGAAUGCCUCUGUUCCUUUCUCUGCCCAUGCUGGCAGGGCAGCAGAAGGUCUGGGUGAGCAGGGAAAACUGUAGGGCCUCUGCCUCUGGAGACCAGGAGGAUUUUGUGGCCAUUGUGUCUUUGGAAAGGAUGAGCACUAUACACACAUACUUUUGUGUAUGUACAACAGAAUGUGAUUAAGCUUGUUAAUUAUGAAAUUAGAAUCCUUUAGAGCUGUGCUUUGCUAAUAUGAAAGCUACAAACCACAUGAGGCUACCAGAUUUUAAGUGAACUAAAAGAUUAGAUUUAUGAUUAAUUCAGACCCUGGUGCCACAUUUCAAAUGCCCAGUAAUACUUCAGCUAGCGGUUAGGCUUUUUAGCAGAAGUUGAGAUUUUAUUUUUAUUUUCAAUUGUGUAUACACAUCUGUGCAGUGCCUGGGAAGGCCAGAAGAGGGUGCUGGGUCCCCCGGGAGCUGGAGUCAGGUGGUUUUGAGCUGCCCUGUGGGUGCUAGGAACUGAACUGGGAACUAGGGUCCUCUGCAGGAGCAGUCUGCACUCUUAACGGCCGAGCGAUCUCUCCAGCCCUCAGGGGGAGUGGAAAGCACACCAGUGACUAUAAACGGCCCUUUUGAGAGGCCUGGGGUCUAGAGCAGCAGAGAAAUGGGGUAGAGCCUGGAGGGAAGCAAGGUCUGGACUCAGGCUCUCAAAGAUGGGUAAGGGUUUGUGGACGGGCUGAGGUCAGUAAGCCGAGACAGGCUGCAAAAGAGAGGCAAGGGGGAGCAGAUGAGGAGACAACCGGUCCUCACACACACAGGGGAGGAAAGAUGCUUCCUUCAUCCUUCCCGACAGAGGCAAGGUAGGCAGGUCUGGUCUGGGGAAGAUCAAGUCUUUGUUCUCUCAAGUGGGAAGGGAGUUACCAGUUUAGAGUGCCAACAGUGAUUCCGGUGGAAUCUGAAGCAAAGGUCUGGAAAAGUACUCUCAAAGGAGAAAACGAAAAUUGUCAGGAAAGCGUUAAUAAAGGACAAGAAUGUGGAGAGGACCACUGAUGCUCCACUCAGACCUUCACGACGUCCUACUGCUUCUGUGGUAAAGCAACAACCUACAAGGCAGGCCCUCUCGGCAAACAGCUGGCACAGGCUUGCCCUCUCCUUACUCCCUGCUCAGCCACCAGACCAUCUCUCAGUCCCUUUACUAGCUCUGUCCUCCCACCGCAGGACUAGAGACGCACAGCUGCCCCUGGGUGUCCAAGGGAGAUGGUUCUAGGAUCCCCAAGGACACCAGACUCACAGAACACUCAAGUUCUUGAAAUAAAACAGCACAGGAUUUGCAAAUAAGCCAUGCACAUUCUGCUGCGUGCCUCCAUCAUCUCUAAUAACUUACAAUACACAAUGUGGUGGAUGUACUAUAUAAGAAGGUUACCUUAUCUGGUUCAGGGAAUAACAGUAAGUACCUGCAUAUGUUCAGUACAGACACUAUCAGUGUGGGGGGAUGUUGCUUAAGACUAAACCCAGGUGUAAUUAAAAGGAAAUCUAGUCUACACUUGGUUAAAUUGAUAGAUGCAGUACCAAUGGACACAGGCUAUCUGUCUCCUGUCCUGAAUCCUUUGUUUCCUCUCAACCAUCGUAAGUGAUGCCUGAGCAUCACGUCUUGGGAGGAAUCCUCCCCUAGGGAGUGAAGCUGGGUCACAACAGAUCCUUAUUCAGGGCAGUCCAGCCCUUCCACAAGACUUAGCAAAUGUGAUCUCACACUUCCCCAGUGACUGCAGGCCACUAUGCUAACAAAAGGGGCUCUACACACAAGUGUGAAGUAAACACGGCAGAAACCAGUUAGGAUGUACCAGAUGGCAGAAGACGCUGGCUUAGACCAGGUACUAACACCAAAGUGAAAAGCAGAGGGAACUUCGCCAGAAACUAAAUGUACCCAGCAGAACUCAGGGACUGUUUAGUGGGAAAGGAAGGCGUAAGUAUCCUGGGGUUUUUCCCCAACUUCACACAAGUUCCAGCUAUCUAGGAAGAAGAACCUCAACUAAGAAAAUGCCUCCAUCUAGACUGCCUGUAGGGAAGUCUGCAGGGCAUUUUCCUGAUUAAAGAUCCACGUGGGGGGGCCUGACCCACUGUGGACAGUGCUGUAUAGGAAAGCAGACUGAGCUUUCAGCCACCUGACUUCCGUCAACAACGGACUAAGUGGAAGCUGCUGCUUUUGGUCAUGGUGUUUAUCAGCACUAGACAUCCUACCUAAGACAGACUUGAGGGUGGGAAGCAGUGGCACUGUUUACUGAGAUCCUGAGUCUUGGAUCUCUGCCUAGGACAAGUCAUGCAGGUGUCUAUCUGAUCAGGAGUGAAUGCAUGCAACCGGAUACAGGGAUCCGGAGCUCUGAGAGGUCUGUGGGAGAGACACCGUCAGCACUUUCCAGCAUUUAGACAACAUGUAAAAGCCUACACGUUGGUUAAGGUCACAAGAAAGAGAGGGAAGAGUGGAUGCAGCAUAAUUCACACAAAGGAAAGGCCAGAUGAGAUGGAAAUGAAAUAGCUGCUGAAUCAGCAUCUGCCUGCCCAGGACAGCCGCACGGCAGGUCCAACGCGGCUACAGUCCCAAGGCAGCUGCACCCUCACAUCUUCAAUCCCAGCUCCUAAGUUCGUAUGUCCCAGGUGAAUGACUGAAUUUCCAGGAAUCCAAGGACGAUCCCACUAUCCUGUGACCAGGCUUAAGGAAGGGAGGCUGGCUGUAGGGAGAGACAAGAGGCCAUGUCCUCUUUCCCAGCCAGCUUCCACACAGGACAAAGGUACCCUGAAGUGGGGGUGCUCGGGAACUCUUCUGGGCUCCGUUAGUUUGGGGGCUCUUAACUGGGUUAUGAUCAUCAAAGGGCUAAUGUUUUUUAUUGUUUUAAAAGCUCUAGAAGACGAAAGAGUAACACUCUAAAAGAAAAUGGGGCAUGUCAAAUGAGGCAAUUCAAUGAAAUGCAAAUACAUAUGGACGUGAUAACAUCAAGGACAGCACUACUAAAAAAAGACAAAUUUAAAAUAGCAAGAUAAUAGUUUUAAUUAUAAGUUUUGUUUUUUUUUGUUAGUGGAGGCACACACAUAUGGUGCAUGUGUGGUGCCCAGAGACAAUCUGUGGAGAUCAGUCUCUCUCUCUGGGUCCUAAGGAUAGAAUUCAGGUCAUCAGGUUGGUACCCUUACUCAAUGUGCCAUCUUGGUGGUCCAAAAGGUAAUUAAAAAAAUUAGAAUUUACACACACAUACACACACACACAC